GCCAGGUGUGGUGGCAUAUGCCUGUAGUCCUAGCUACUCUGGAGGCUGAGGUGGGAGAAUUGCUUGAGCCCAGGAGUUCGAGGCUGCAGUAAGCUAUGAUUAUGCCACUGCACUCCAGCCUGGGCAACAGAGUAAGACCCUGUCUUUU
rnacentral:SRP_RNA from 1 species